rnacentral:tRNA from 1 species
GACUUCGUGGUCGUGUGGUAAGGACACUUGCCUCUUACCAUGAAGUCCCGGGUUCGAUCCCCGGUCGAGAAGUUA